rnacentral:rRNA from 1 species
UACGUAGGGGGCUAGCGUUGUCCGGAUUUAUUGGGCGUAAAGAGCGUGUAGGCGGCCAGAUAGGUCUGCUGUGAAAACUCGAGGCUCAACCUCGAGAUGUCGGCGGAAACCAUUUGGCUAGAGUCCGGAAGAGGAAAGUGGAAUUCCUGGUGUAGCGGUGAAAUGCGCAGAUAUCAGGAGGAACACCGGUGGCGAAGGCGGGUCUCUGGGCAGUAACUGACGCUGAGGAGCGAAAGCGUGGGGAGCGAACAGG